rnacentral:rRNA from 1 species
CCUACGGGUGGCUGCAGUGAGGAAUAUUGGUCAAUGGGCGCGAGCCUGAACCAGCCAAGUCGCGUGAGGGAGGACGGCCCUACGGGUUGUAAACCUCUUUUGCCGGGGAGCAACGGGCGUCACGUGUGGCGCCACUGAGAGUACCCGGAGAAAAAGCAUCGGCUAACUCCGUGCCAGCAGCCGCGGUAAUACGGAGGAUGCGAGCGUUAUCCGGAUUUAUUGGGUUUAAAGGGUGCGUAGGCGGAUCGUUAAGUCAGUGGUCAAAUUGAGGGGCUCAACCCCUUCCCGCCAUUGAUACUGGCGCUCUUGAGUACAGUAGAGGUGGGCGGAAUUCGUGGUGUAGCGGUGAAAUGCUUAGAUAUCACGAAGAACUCCGAUUGCGAAGGCAGUUCACUGGACUGCAACUGACACUGAGGCUCGAAAGUGUGGGUAUCAAACAGGAUUAGAUACCCGGGUAGUC